rnacentral:tRNA from 1 species
GCCCACGUGGCGGAAUGGUAGACGCAACAGACUUAAAAUCUGUCGGAAGGUUUCUUCCGUGCCGGUUCGAGUCCGGCCGUGGGCACCA